GAUGAACGCUGGCGGCGUGCCUAAUACAUGCAAGUCGAGCGAACAGACGAGGAGCUUGCUCCUCUGACGUUAGCGGCGGACGGGUGAGUAACACGUGGAUAACCUACCUAUAAGACUGGGAUAACUUCGGGAAACCGGAGCUAAUACCGGAUAAUAUAUUGAACCGCAUGGUUCAAUAGUGAAAGACGGUUUUGCUGUCACUUAUAGAUGGUUCCGCGCCGCAUUAGCUAGUUGGUAAGGUAACGGCUUACCAAGGCAACGAUGCGUAGCCGACCUGAGAGGGGGAUAGGCCACACUGGAACUGAGACACGGUCCAGACUCCUACGGGAGGCAGCAGUAGGGAAUCUUCCGCAAUGGGCGAAAGCCUGACGGAGCAACGCCGCGUGAGUGAUGAAGGUCUUCGGAUCGUAAAACUCUGUUAUUAGGGAAGAACAAAUGUGUAAGUAACUAUGCACGUCUUGACGGUACCUAAUCAGAAAGCCACGGCUAACUACGUG
rnacentral:rRNA from 1 species